rnacentral:lncRNA from 1 species
CUCCUCCUUCUUAUCCUUCUUAUUCUUCUUCUUCUUCUUCUUCUCCUCCUCCUUUUUAUUAUUCUUCUUCUUCUUCCCCUUCUCCUUCUUCCCCUCCUCUUUCUUCUUCUCCUUAGCUUAUUUCCCCCAAGAAAGACAUACUUAGCUAAUUAUCCUCCAUAAUGACAUAAUUAGCUAAUUUAGUUAAUUUAUGACAUAAUUAUCUUAGUUAGGUAAAAAACAUCACAACAACCUUGGUUAGCUCAUAACUUAGUGUAUCUUCCUCCUAAAUGACAUAAUAAGCUCAAAAUAAGAAAAGUAUUGUAAUCAUCCUCUUCCUCUUCUUUUUCUUCUUCUUCUUCUUCUUCUCCUUCUUCUUCUCCCUCUUCUUCUCCUUCUUCUCCUCCUCCUCCUCCUCCUCCUCCUUCUUCUUCUUCUCCUCCUCC